UACGGAGGAUGCAAGCGUUAUCCGGAUUCAUUGGGUUUAAAGGGUGCGCAGGCGGAUUGAUAAGUCAGGGGUGAAAUCCCACAGCUCAACUGUGGAACUGCCUUUGAUACUGUUAGUCUUGAGUAUAGUUGAAGUGGGCGGAAUGUGUCAUGUAGCGGUGAAAUGCUUAGAUAUGACACAGAACACCGAUCGCGAAGGCAGCUCGCUAAGCUAUAACUGACGCUCAUGCACGAAAGCGUGGGGAUCAAACAGGAUUAGAUACCCUGGUAGUCCACGCCGUAAACGAUGAUUACUCGAUGUUGGCGAUAUACAGUCAGCGUCUGAGCGAAAGCAAUAAGUAAUCCACCUGGGGAGUACGAUCGCAAGAUUGAA
rnacentral:rRNA from 1 species